rnacentral:lncRNA from 1 species
AAUAUUUAACAUAUGUCAAGAUUCUUCUUAUUCAUCACUCAGCUCAUCACUUUAACGAACACAUAUUUUCAUCUAUGCAGGAACUUGUAAUUCUCAAGCAUUUCAAUAUGCAGCGUCGUACUGAAAUAUUACACACCCUUUAGAAGCAUUUACAAGACUAAUAAAGUAUUAUACACCCAGUUUUUGGUUCUAGUCCGUGUCAUUUAGGAUUAAUUAGGCAAAGACAUUUUUUAUAAAAUAAGCAUAGACCUAAUAGACCAAUAAUAUAAAAAUAAUUUGAAAGUAACAUUGCAUAAUAUAUAUUCCUUAAAAAAAAAUAUGUAGGGGUUGAAGCUCCAACUUUGAACACUCCAUUUAUUCUUCUUAAGAGAAUAUAUGGUACAUUACAACAAGAAAACAUAACUAAAAGUCGUUGUUACAUUAAAUUAAAGAGUUAUAAUAUGAAAUAUUUGUUGUUCCUCUGAGCUUAACUCACUUAAUAGGUACAUUGUAUAAUAUAUGCAGAGAUUAAUAUUCGAAUAUCUGACACCCCAAUUAUUCUCUUUAAAAAUUUCUAACCAUUAAAUUAUGAAACAUUCAUUCUUCCUUUGUCAAUAUUUGUAGUCUUAAAGGAUCUUCAGGAUUGUGCCUAUCUAGUAUCUAGUCUAGGCUGAAUUUGCGAUUCUAGCUUCGUCUUAUUUGUCAAAACUGGGUUCUUGCUUGGUCUAGAUAGAAAUUGAAAAGCAUAGGGUAUAUCUAUCUAUCUAUAUAAUUAGCAUAAAACAAAUAAGUGCAACUCUGAUCUUCUUCUCUUUUUGACUCAAGUGCAACUCGUUCAUCAAACUGGUUGCAACAGAAUGGCAUAAAAAUCAAUUUUUGUAAAAAAAAAAAUAGAAGAAAAAGAAAGAGAAAAUUGAGGAAAGUAAAAAUUAUUAUUAAUUAAAGUGGGUGCAAUGACUAUUUUAUAAUCGUUUCACAUGAAAUUGAAAUUUUGUCUCUUAAAAUUAUAAGAUCAAAUUCUCACUAUUUAACUGACACCAUAUGGUUACACAAAAUCAAAUACUAGUGUAACUGAUUUUAAAAAUUUCUAAAAUGAAACUUUUAUCAAUACCACAGUAUUUCCAUUCCAAAAAACAAAAACUAGAGUAAUUCAAACACGCAAUGAAUAUUGGAAAAUGAAAAUGGUAGGUGACUUUAAGACUGAAGAGUUUGUGUUGAAGUCACUUGCUCCAAAAACAGAAAUAAAAUUGCAAGACAAAGUCCAACCACAUUAACAUCGAACCAAAAUUGGAAUGAACCUUGUUCAACAUAUUAACCAAAUCAGGACUUUGCUUGCUUUGAGAAAAGUUGAUUUUAGUUUCCAUUUACCUUUUACGUGUGCUCACCAUCCACAAGUAGUGUAUGAUUACUUGAUAAGACACGGCAGGUAACCUGGGUUAAAUUUUACGAGGAGAAUUAAACAGUGUUGGAGCCUUAGCUGGAAU